AGAGUUUGAUCCUGGCUCAGGAUGAACGCUGGCGGCGUGCUUAACACAUGCAAGUCGAACGAUGAAGCCCAGCUUGCUGGGUGGAUUAGUGGCGAACGGGUGAGUAACACGUGAGUAACCUGCCCUUAACUCUGGGAUAAGCCUGGGAAACUAGGUCUAAUACCGGAUAGGAGCGCCUACCGCAUGGUGGGUGUUGGAAAGAUUUAUCGGUUUUGGAUGGACUCGCGGCCUAUCAGCUUGUUGGUGAGGUAAUGGCUCACCAAGGCGACGACGGGUAGCCGGCCUGAGAGGGUGACCGGCCACACUGGGACUGAGACACGGCCCAGACUCCUACGGGAGGCAGCAGUGGGGAAUAUUGCACAAUGGGCGAAAGCCUGAUGCAGCGACGCCGCGUGAGGGAUGACGGCCUUCGGGUUGUAAACCUCUUUCAGUAGGGAAGAAGCGAAAGUGACGGUACCUGCAGAAGAAGCACCGGCUAACUACGUGCCAGCAGCCGCGGUAAU
rnacentral:rRNA from 1 species